rnacentral:rRNA from 1 species
GAUGAACGCUGGCGGCGUGCCUAAUACAUGCAAGUCGAACGGACCACUUCGGUGGUUAGUGGCGAACGGGUGAGUAACACGUAGGUAACAUGCCGAUAUGUCGUGGAUAACGGUUGGAAACGACUGCUAAUACAGGAUAGGAAUGUUGAAGGCAUCUUUGGCAUUUUAAAGGAGAGAUCCGCGUAUCGAGUGACCUGCGGCGCAUUAGCUAGUUGGUGAGAUAGAAGCCCACCAAGGCAAUGAUGCGUAGCCGGACUGAGGGGUUGAACGGCCACAUUGGGACUGAGACACGGCCCAGACUCCUACGGGAGGCAGCAGUAGGGAAUUUUCGGCAAUGGGGGGAACCCUGACCCGAGCAACGCCGCGUGAAUGAUGAAGUACUUCGGUAUGUAAAGUUCUUUUAUUGGUGAAAACGACGCUUUGAUGCGUGUGACGGUAGCUAAUGAAUAAGCCCCGGCUAACUAUGUGCCAGCAGCCGCGGUAUACAUAGGGGGCAAGCGUUAUCCGGAAUUAUUGGGCGUAAAGGG